CAAUCAAGAGACAAGCAAAGAUGAUGAAUUUCAACCAAAGCUUUGAUGAUCAGAGAAAGAUUAUCAUUCAUUGCAUUAUAAAAUAAUUUUAUAUUAUUUUAAUGUCGAAUCUUGCAUUUUUCCAGGUUAUAAUAACCAUUUUUUUCAAGGAAUGGCAUUGUUGGUGGGCAACAACUAUAUCCAUGGCGGCACAAACACCAGAAAGUUUUACUGUUCUACUCUCAACCUUUUAAGUCUUUAAGACAGACACUUAACUUUCCUUUUGACUACUAUCGGUUUCGAAUCUUUCAAUCGUUUCUGAGACAAGCAAAGCCAACGGAACACCUUUCCUCUCUAUUUCUUCCUAAUAAUGUCAAUGACAAGUUAAGCAAACAAACCCUUGCCUGUUGAUCACCCACCAUACUCAAAUCCUGUUUAAGCUUCAUCUUCAAGGACAGGAAUAAGGGAAAAAGAGAGCCAUGUUAGAUAUCUUCAUAUGGCUUAUUUCUUUCUUCAUCAUCAUUGCCAUUAUUGUUCUCCUCAUUUAUCAGCUCACAUGCUUGGCUGAUUUAGAGUUCGAUUACAUCAAUCCGUACGACUCUUCAUCUCGGAUAAACAAAGUCGUCUUGCCAGAAUUCUUCGUGCAAGGAUUUUUAUGCUUAUUCUAUCUAGUAACAGGACAUUGGGUCAUGUCACUGUUAUGCACUCCAUAUUUAUACUACAAUGUCAAAGUUUACAUGUUGAAACAACACCUGGUCGAUGUCACGGAGAUAUUUAACUCACUUAAUAGGGAGAAGAACCGACGCUACUAUAAACUCGCCUACCUCGUCAUUCUCCUAUUUAUCUCCUUAUUCUGGAUUAUCUUCUCUGCAUUAGAAUACGAAGAUGAUUAACCGGACCCCGGCAGCUUUCUUAAUCGGAACGUGCAUCGGCUGUUUACAUUUGAUGUCUUUGUUUCAGCUUCUUCUGUUCUAUGAAGUCAUCGAUUCUUCGCUGCAAAUCAUCACUGUAGUCUCCUUCAGCAAACCAACCAUCAUUGUCAUCACUGUCACUAUCAUCAUCUUCAUAAUAGCCGUCGGAACAACCGGUAUCAUCUCUGCAUACAUCAACCAUAUCUGCACACUGUUGAGUAUCAUCAAAGGAAGCCCCCACUUCACAUGACGAGCCCAAAUACGUGAAUUCUCCAUCAACUUCAUUCGUAGAUUGUUUAUGACUCGAAAAAGUUACAGAUAUAAGCAUGGCGUUAAACAACACGAACAAAGAAACCGGAUUAUGCAAGAACUCGAGAUUGCGGGUAGACAAAGAUCUCAACAACAAAAGGGAAACUACAAAGAGAAUCAAACAUGAACAAAAGAGCUUCAUUCAAGUGUCUACUAACAGAACAUAUAUUUGUCUGUGUCUGUAUUCAUUGUUGGUUGUCCCUUUUGUUAUGAGGGAUACAAUUUAUAGAAGUUUAAAAGGAAAAAAAAAAAAAAGAGGUGAUUUCCCCGAACAAGUAAUGGGGGUUUGUUUAUUAAUUUAUUUUCUCAAGUAAUGAAGACUUUGAAGCAUAA